ACGGAAGGCAGCAGUGGGGAAUAUUGGGCAAUGGGCGAAAGCCUGACCCAGCGACGCCGCGUGAGGGAAGAAGGUCUUCGGAUUGUAAACCUUAGUCAACAGGGAAGAAGCAAGUGACGGUACCUGUGGAGGAAGCCACGGCUAACUACGUGCCAGCAGCCGCGGUAAUACGUAGGUGGCGAGCGUUAUCCGGAUUUACUGGGUGUAAAGGGAGUGUAGGCGGGACUGUAAGUCAGAUGUGAAAUAUGCCGGCUCAACUGGCAGACUGCAUUUGAAACUGCGGUUCUUGAGUGAAGUAGAGGUAAGCGGAAUUCCUAGUGUAGCGGUGAAAUGCGUAGAUAUUAGGAGGAACAUCAGUGGCGAAGGCGGCUUACUGGGCUUUAACUGACGCUGAGGCUCGAAAGCGUGGGGAGCAAACAGGAUUAGAUACCCUGGUA
rnacentral:rRNA from 1 species